AGGGUUUGAUCCUGGCUCAGGACGAACGCUGGCGGCGUGCCUAACACAUGCAAGUCGAGCGGGAAAUCACUAAAUGAAGCUUCGGCAGAUUUUGGUGACGGAUAGCGGCGGACGGGUGAGUAACGCGUGAGUAACCUGCCCUUAAGAGGGGGAUAACACAGAGAAAUUUGUGCUAAUACCGCAUAAUAUAUAUUUUCGGCAUCGGAGAUAUAUCAAAGAUUUAUCGCUUAAGGAUGGACUCGCGUCUGAUUAGAUAGUUGGUGAGGUAACGGCUCACCAAGUCGACGAUCAGUAGCCGAACUGAGAGGUUGAUCGGCCACAUUGGGACUGAGACACGGCCCAG
rnacentral:rRNA from 1 species